ensembl:lncRNA
ACACACACACACACACACACACACACACACACACACACACACACAGCUUAGCUUCUCUUUAGUGGGCGGCGAGUGGGGGGGCCCCGGCCUGCCUGAGGGUCCCCAUCCGGCCCCCCACUCCUCUGUAAGGGAGGACCAGAGGCAGUCUUAAUAUGUCUGGCCCUAGCGAGGAGAGGGGAAAGCGAGUGAGCUGCUGCUGCCUUUAUCAUUUGGAUUGCCCCGCGUCACGCGCAAGGCAGCAGGUUCCUCUCCAUAGAGCGAUCGUGAAGACAACCAUGACCCCCCCCACACAAUGUAUCGUUUAAUCAUCACUUUAUGUGUGUCAAGUGCCUCCCCAGUAAUGCUGUGAAGUUCCUGCAUUCUUUCUUUAGUUUAGGGUUUUCUGUUUGAUUCAAGUUUUACGAAAGGGUUUGCUUGAUCACACAGGAGUUCAUUCCCACUAAGGAAGUGUUUGGGAUCAUACUAUGUUUGGAUACAAAACAAUACUAGGUUUCUUUAUAAUAACUAUAUCUUCAUAUAUGUAAUUUUUGGAACAUUUAUUGAUACACUUGUUCAUAAAUCGGAUGUAGCUUACUGUUGAGAAGGGUACAAGUCAUUGUUGUUCUGUCAGAUAUUGGAGGAUUGAAAAAAAGUCUGAAGUUGGUUUUCUUUUUUUUUCAGGUAGCAAUAGUCUUUAUAUUUACCAUACUGGUGACAGAGAAGUUAUCAAAUGAUUAUGGAAAUACCUAUUAGGCCCACCCAGACAAAAACAAACUUUAUUAACCGGAAAUGAUUCGACUGAGCUUGUUGGAUUCAGGUUUCCAUGAAAACGGGGAGAACUAGGACUUGCAUCACUAAAGAGCAGCAUACCAGCAGAAGACUAUCCCAGUUAUUCUAUACACGCAUUCAAAAAUACUAUUUAAGAUGAAUAUGUACAUUUUAUGGUAACAAGUUACACAUUGUUCACAAUAAUCGCUUUUAGGGAUAACUGAAACCUUGUGCAUAUUGAAGUUCUUUGUUUUUUUGUUGCUUACUUUUCCAUGACAAUGAAAUAAAGAUCCUGGACUACAAAACUUUGUGCCAUUGAUGGUCUUUACUCUGAGUCUUCCUGAGGAAGUUUUCAUAUCAUUUUUUUAUCUCACGUGAGCAAGAAUCAUUACAC